rnacentral:rRNA from 1 species
AGUGAACGCUGGCGGUAGGCCUAACACAUGCAAGUCGAACGGCAGCACAGUAAGAGCUUGCUCUUACGGGUGGCGAGUGGCGGACGGGUGAGGUAUACAUCGGAAUCUACUUUUUCGUGGGGGAUAACGUAGGGAAACUUACGCUAAUACCGCAUACGACCUACGGGUGAAAGCAGGGGAUCUUCUGACCUUGCGCGAUUGAAUGAGCCGAUGUCGGAUUAGCUAGUUGGCGGGGUAAAGGCCCACCAAGGCGACGAUCCGUAGCUGGUCUGAGAGGAUGAUCAGCCACACUGGAACUGAGACACGGUCCAGACUCCUACGGGAGGCAGCAGUGGGGAAUAUUGGACAAUGGGCGAAAGCCUGAUCCAGGCAUACCGCGUGGGUGAAGAAGGCGUUAGGGUUGUAAAGCCCUUUUGUUGGGAAAGAAAAGCAGCAGGUUAAUACCCCGCUGUUCUGACGGUACCCAAAGAAUAAGCACCGGCUAACUUCGUG